CUUAUUUUUGCCACCUUAAACUUAAACUAUCUCAUACACCAUUAAUUAUAUAUUUUACAGGCAUUCAACAACACAUAAUAACCUAUGGCCAAAACUACCAUAAACUUCAUGCUAUCAUACCAGAAAAGAAUGUACUCAGAGGUUUUCAGGAAUCCAUUCCCCCACGUUCCUCUCAGAGAUUACCAAUAGCCAUCCAACUGUUCAUCCUUAUCGGAC